rnacentral:rRNA from 1 species
UACGAAGGGGGCUAGCGUUGCUCGGAAUCACUGGGCGUAAAGGGUGCGUAGGCGGGUCUUUAAGUCAGGGGUGAAAUCCUGGAGCUCAACUCCAGAACUGCCUUUGAUACUGAAGAUCUUGAGUUCGGGAGAGGUGAGUGGAGCUGCGAGUGUAGAGGUGAAAUUCGUAGAUAUUCGCAAGAACACCAGUGGCGAAGGCGGCUCACUGGCCCGAUACUGACGCUGAGGCACGAAAGCGUGGGGAGCGAACGGA